UACGUAGGGGCCUAGCGUUGUCCGGAUUUAUUGGGCGUAAAGAGCUCGUAGGCGGUUUGGUUAGUCAGGUGUGAAAUCUCCACGCUCAACGUGGAGGGGCCACCUGAUACUGCCAUGACUUGAGUCCGGUAGGGGAGUGUGGAAUUCCCGGUGUAGCGGUGAAAUGCGCAGAUAUCAGGAGGAACACCGGUGGCGAAGGCGGAUCUCUGGGCCGAUACUGACGCUGAGGAGCGAAAGCGUGGGGAGCGAACAGG
rnacentral:rRNA from 1 species